GGGAUCCUCCAAGGGAGGAGAUAAGGACAUGACAGCCCACCAAGAACAUGGGGAGCCAUCCGAGAGGCAGGAAAGCAAGAAAAGGCAGUAGUUUGAAAUUCCAGAGGCAGCAGUCUAGAGGACAGAGUGGGUUCAGUCACUAAAAGGAGAACAAUGGAAGUCUUGUAAGACCCAAAGAACAAGCACACCUUCGUGACAAAGGCUGGCCUGACAGGAUGUCCCGAAACACAGUGCGGCAAUCACAGACUUCUUGGUUCUCAGCAGUGCCACUGUGUGUUUUAGGUGAAUUAUUAGUGUUUCAAAUUCUCCUGACAGGCACGUGUGUACUGCUGUUUCGGCCGUCUCGUGAUUGCCUAAAUGAAGCUUAAGGAACGGUCUUAUAGCUUCAUGUCGGGCUCUAAUGAAUCAUCCCCUGUCUCAUGUCGAAUGAAAAGGAGCUGGAAUCGUUUCUCAAGGCAAACAAUUACUACUAAAUUGGUAACAAAUGCUGCUUGGCCAGGCCAAGUCUUCUGAUAAGGGGAACUUUCAUCCUAAAAUAAAAUAAAAAUACAUCUUAACCACUUUUAUGAUGUUGCCCUUGAUGCAAUAUAUUUGAAGUUCAUGCCUGAGUUCAGUCCAAUAGUUUUAACUCUGACUCGCCCAAUAUUAGCCACAAAAAAGAUGCUUCAUAAGAAAGGCAAACUGAGCUCAGGAACCUUGUUCUCAGAGCUCCUGGUUAAUAAAUUGGCUGAUCAAGGGGGCCCAUCUCUCCACCACUCCGGAUGCCCCAGAGAGUAGCAGGUACAAGAUAGGAAGAACAAAGGCAAAAAAAAGAAGAGUGAUUUCUAGGGGGUGCUAUCCAAGACAGGCAGCCAUCCAAGCCAAGCUGUCAGGGAGUUCCACACAAAUGGACUAAGGAGAUCCCUUGGUGAGCUAGAAGAAGUCUUAAUGCAAGGAAGCACAUUCUGCCUUAUAGUUAUGACUCAGAUGGAGUUGGAAGAGACCCAUGGCAAUGGUAUAUGGCUCUGGAAGGGAGCAGAACUGAGGAAAGGGGCAUCUGCCCCUUAAGACACUUUAUUGGUAUGAGGAAGUUCAGGAAGCAGCUACGGAAAACCUGGUGGAAAGCACCUCAAUGAGAAUCCUGAGAAGGAUCGUGCAUCCAGGUCUCCCCUCACAGCCCACCGUGUCAUGGCCAUAAGUCUGGGCUGUCCGAGGUGACGUUAACAGAGAGCAAGCUUCUAUCAAGCUGGGAGAGUUUCUGAUUUGGUUCUAGCAAAAGAUGACUCAAUGCAUGGACCAAAGCAAUGAAGAGGCAAAAAGCAUAUCCCCAAUGGCUUGGCCAUAAGGGACUGUUUUUGGCAAGUGAUGAAACAGAAAAAUACAGAGUGACUCUGCCCAGUGUGGACCUCUUCUGUUUUCAUAGGGCUGGAAGACGGUAAAGGGAGAAAAGAACAGCAAGGCAGCCAUAGGUUUUAAAACAUUUAAAUCCUUCCCGGACUGUUACAUGAUUAUAAGAACAUUACAGUCACUGAAAAACAAAAAUGGGGGAAGACCCAGAGGGACAUGAUGAGCAUGAGAAGAGUGAUAAAGCAGGGCAAACAUAAAGGAUGUAGUCGAAUAAAUCUGUGAUCAAAAACAAUGAGCAAGAACAAGGGGUAUGUAUAUGAUGAUCAGCCCACAUGAUAUACUCUUGAUGGCCAGAGGAAGCCAAGAAAGCUUCUAUGGCAUAGUGGGUGGGAAGUGAGCCUACAAGAAAGCAUGGACAAUUGUCAUACUAAUGGACAGGGAUGGAUGGACUGUGAGCUGCAGCGGUUGGAGGGAGUGCCCAUGGUAAGGAGAACACAGAUCUAUAAGCCUAUUUGAACAAAAACAUGAACUUAACUGUCCAAUGACAACGAAACUGAUAUGAUGUUGGAA